GGGGCUGAUUCUGGAUUCGACGGGAUUUGCGAAACCCAAGGUGCAUGCCGAGGGGCGGUUGGCCUCGUAAAAAGCCGCAAAAAAAUAGUCGCAAACGACGAAACCUACGCUUUAGCAGCUUAAUAACCUGCUUAGAGCCCUCUCUCCCUAGCCUUCGCUCUUAGGACGGGGAUCAAGAGAGGUCAAACCCAAAAGAGAUCGCGCGGAUGCCCUGCCUGGGGUUGAAGCGUUAAAACGAAUCAGGCUAGUCUGGUAGUGGCGUGUCCGUCCGCAGGUGCCAGGCGAAUGUAAAGACUGACUAAGCAUGUAGUACCGAGGAUGUAGGAAUUUCGGACGCGGGUUCAACUCCCGCCAGCUCCACCA
rnacentral:tmRNA from 1 species